AACGAACGCUGGCGGCGUGCCUAACACAUGCAAGUCGAACGAGAAUUGGGGGCUUGCUCCCAUAGUAAAGUGGCGAACGGGUGAGUAAUACGUAGGUAACCUACCCCGGGGAGGGGAACAACAUUUCGAAAGGAGUGCUAAUGCCCCGUAAGACCACAGAUUCUGCGGAAUCAGUGGCAAAAGGUGACCUCUUCAUGAAAGUUAUCGCCUUGGGACGGUCCUGCGCACCAUUAGCUUGUUGGUAGGGUAAAAGCCUACCAAGGCCGAGAUGGUUAGCUGGUCUGAGAGGAUGGCCAGCCACACUGGAACUGAAAUACGGUCCAGACUCCUACGGGAGGCAGCAGUGGGGAAUAUUGCGCAAUGGGGGAAACCCUGACGCAGCAACGCCGCGUGAGUGAUGAAGGCCUUCGGGUCGUAAAGCUCUGUCAGGCGGAACGAAAAAUACCGGGCUAAUACCCCGAGUAUCUGACGGUACCGCCAGAGGAAGCACCGGCUAACUCCGUG
rnacentral:rRNA from 1 species